rnacentral:rRNA from 1 species
CCUACGGGAGGCAGCAGUGGGGAAUAUUGCACAAUGGGGGAAACCCUGAUGCAGCGACGCCGCGUGAGUGAAGAAGUAUUUCGGUAUGUAAAGCUCUAUCAGCAGGGAAGAAGCAAGACGGUACCUGACUAAGUAGCCCCGGCUAACUACGUGCCAGCAGCCGCGGUAAUACGUAGGGGGCAAGCGUUAUCCGGAUUUACUGGGUGUAAAGGGAGCGUAGACGGUAUGGCAAGUCUGAAGUGAAAGACCAGGGCUUAACCCUGGGACUGCUUUGGAAACUGUUAGACUAGAGUGCUGGAGAGGUAAGUGGAAUUCCUAGUGUAGCGGUGAAAUGCGUAGAUAUUAGGAAGAACACCAGUGGCGAAGGCGGCUUACUGGACAGUAACUGACGUUGAGGCUCGAAAGCGUGGGGAGCAAACAGGAUUAGAUACCCGAGUAGUC